CCUUACACAUGCAAGUCGAACGGCAGCACGGGUGCUUGCACCUGGUGGCGAGUGGCGAACGGGUGAGUAAUAUAUCGGAACGUGCCCUAGAGUGGGGGAUAACGUAGCGAAAGUUACGCUAAUACCGCAUACGAUCUGCGGAUGAAAGUGGGGGAUCGCAAGACCUCAUGCUCAUGGAGCGGCCGAUAUCUGAUUAGCUAGUUGGUGGGGUAAAAGCCUACCAAGGCGACGAUCAGUAGCUGGUCUGAGAGGACAACCAGCCACACUGGGACUGAGACACGGCCCAGACUCCUACGGGAGGCAGCAGUGGGGAAUUUUGGACAAUGGGGGCAACCCUGAUCCAGCAAUGCCGCGUGUGUGAAGAAGGCCUUCGGGUUGUAAAGCACUUUUGUCAGGAACGAAACGGUGGGGGCUAAUACCUUCUGCUAAUGACGGUACCUGAAGAAUAAGCACCGGCUAACUACGUGCCAGCAGCCGCGGUAAUACGUAGGGUGCGAGCGUUAAUCGGAAUUACUGGGCGUAAAGCGUGCGCAGGCGGUUGUGCAAGACAGAUGUGAAAUCCCCGGGCUCAACCUGGGAAUUGCAUUUGUGACUGCACGGCUAGAGUGUGUCAGAGGGGGGUAGAAUUCCACGUGUAGCAGUGAAAUGCGUAGAUAUGUGGAGGAAUACCGAUGGCGAAGGCAGCCCCCUGGGAUAACACUGACGCUCAUGCACGAAAGCGUGGGGAGCAAACAGGAUUAGAUACCCUGGUAGUCCACGCCCUAAACGAUGUCUACUAGUUGUCGGGUCUUAAUUGACUUGGUAACGCAGCUAACGCGUGAAGUAGACCGCCUGGGGAGUACGGUCGCAAGAUUAAAACUCAAAGGAAUUGACGGGGACCCGCACAAGCGGUGGAUGAUGUGGAUUAAUUCGAUGCAACGCGAAAAACCUUACCUACCCUUGACAUGUACGGAACCCUGCUGAGA
rnacentral:rRNA from 1 species